UGGGGGACAACAGUUGGAAACGACUGCUAAUACCGCAUAACAUAUCGAGAGGGCAUCCUCUUGAUAUCAAAGCUUUAUGUGCUGAAAGAUGGUCUCGCGUCUGAUUAGCUAGUUGGUGAGGUAACGGCCCACCAAGCCGACGAUCGGUAGCCGGACUGAGAGGUUGAACGGCCACAUUGGGACUGAGACACGGCCCAGACUCCUACGGGAGGCAGCAGUGGGGAAUAUUGCACAAUGGGCGCAAGCCUGAUGCAGCAACGCCGCGUGAGGGAAGACGGUCUUCGGAUUGUAAACCUCUGUCCUUGGUGAAGAAACAUGACGGUAGCCAUGGAGGAAGCCACGGCUAACUACGUG
rnacentral:rRNA from 1 species